AAAUGAGCGUUGAACGGAUUACAGUAAUGUGUGUUCUCCCUGUUAGAGAGAGCUGACGGAUGGUGCAAGUCAGUACAAAGAACAGCAUGAAUUACGAUUCUGGAGCAUCUUCUUCGAACCGGAUGGUGAGGGGAAGACGGUUAAUAGCCGUUAUGAUAAUGAGAUAUUGACAUAUUAACUAUGUUGAUAAUUAGGGUGGUACCGCGUAAAUCACGUCCCUGCU
rnacentral:ncRNA from 1 species